CCUCAUCCAGCAACUGGUAGAACACCCACAACUAAUCACUGAACUGAAAUGGAAUCCAGAUGCAGAGAAGGACGAGGAAAAGCAAAGGGGUCCAGACCAGUUUUGCAUGAAGCAGCCUGGAAGUUUGCAGCUCAUCCUCACCCAGACACCCUGGUGAACCAACUAGAAACCUGACAGUUCUCCUAGGCUGUGCAAGAAAGGUGAGCACACACAGGAGGAAAUGCAUAGAGAGACUGGAGUUCAGGAUGAAGUCAGCAGGUCACAGGCACCCUGGGACCUUGUCACACUUGCCUGACCCUGACCCCGCCGGCACAAGAGGGUCUGGUUCUGCGGUUCCUUUACUCGCAGCAAUUGAGUCUGGUUCCCAAGAAGACGCCCCACGCAGGACGAGGAGAGCGAGCGGGUUGGAAGGAAUCCACGGCCGGAGGUGCGGGAGUGUUUCCCGGGAUGACCAGCAGGGGGCGCGGGGCGGGAAAGGCCUUCGGGGCUCCUGAAGUUGGGGUUCCCGGGAAUGAGGGGAGUGUGUGAGCCGGG
rnacentral:lncRNA from 1 species